rnacentral:tRNA from 1 species
GCCCUCGUAGUUCAACGGAUAGAAUAGGGCCCUUCUAAGGCCUAGAUAUAGGUUCGAUUCCUAUCGAGGGCA